UAAAAUCGUACUAUCCUCUAUAACAAAGCCCUCCAUUUCUCCUCCUUUCCCCAGACGCUAAUGGACUGGACUAAGGCAAAGAUCCAUGACAUUUCUUCACCCACAAUUAAGAUGAUGGUAUGGGUUCCCGCAUCGGCGAUGUCACAACCAGCCGAUCAUCGUCCACCAAGACUUCCACCUCCCGCCUCCAACAAUGUCGAUACAAAAUUGCUGCAAGCAUUUACCUGUAGUAUGUUUGACUAAUGAGUAACAACUGAUAGAAUUUGUGAUGAUAUAGAGUGUGCCUAAAAGGUGUUCAAUGAAAUGCUGAUUAGAAGUAUUGUGUUUCAUUGUACAAUCUAUAUAUGGGUAACAACACACGUUGUCUUCCUUAUUUCUCUUCCAUCGCCUCUCACUUGGUAUCCAAAUGUUCAUCAUCUUGCUGCCACAACCCUCCCGUCAGACCACAACCAGGUAUGUAACCAAGCAAGAGUAUACCUUUCUAUAGAAGGAUAUCAACGGUCAAAUUGGCUGGCCGCAAGAGAUAUGAACAUUGCAUAUAUUAGAUGAUGAAGAUAAAUGUGUUGAUGGAAUGGGUAUUCUCACAGAAUGUAAGUCUUGUCUGACGUUAGUCUCACAAAAUGUCAUUCUCGUAAGAUUGGUUGAAAUCAAGUCGACUCUAGACCAUUGAAGAAGAUAAAGUGCAUUUGGUUAAGAAUUGUAUAUUUAAACAUACUACGAUUUUUAAGAAUUUAUUUCAUUUUUAUGACAUUCUCUUAAAAUUUGUAUAAUUGUAUUAAAAUGUAUAAGACUAUUAUUAUGUAAAAGAAUGAAAAUUAUAGGGUGAGAACCAAUUUUUGUAUUUUAUUGAUUGAAUGAAUCAGAGAUGAAAAACCGAUCUCUGUGAUAUAUGUCAAGGGGAAACAAACUCCCAGCAAUAGAAGGGAAAAUACCAAAGAUAGAAUAUAUAAGGAAGGAAAUAAAUAAACUAAAAACUUAUGAUAUCUUUUGUUUCCUUUACUCCCCCUCAAGUUGAGCAUGAAGGUUCCGAAUGUUCAAAUUAACCAAAAGAGACUUCAACUGAUCUCCUCCAAGAGGUUUUGUAAGCAAAUCCGCCAACUGAUUCCUUGUGUGCGUCCAAACCUGAAUGACUUCCUUGGACUCCACCCUUUC